GUCGUUGGGGCAGGUCCUGGGUAGAGUCCAGGUUGGCGGGUCCUGGGGCGGAGUCAGGAUAGGGCGAUCCUGGAAGCUGGGCUUCAGAAGCGUCCAGCUGGGGAAACUGAGUUACAGAGCUUUUCUGCACUGAGUCAUCAGGAGCAAAUGCUAGAUCAGAUAGGGUCUCUCUCUCUGCCACCCAGGCCAGAGUGCAGUUGACGCAGGGCAGGGGAGCCCCGAAGUGGAGCAUAGUGUGUCCGGAACUGGUGGGUUCUUGGUCUCACUGACUUCAAGAAUGAAGCCGUGGACCCUCACGGUGCAGGAAUGAGAGGCAGCAGCCGGGGAAGCCAGGGUCUCCGGAAGUCCUUGUCUCUGGGCGGUGAUCCAGAGAGAGAGAGAGAACACGAUUGUCUCAGCAAUGGGUCUUCUUCUGAGUCUUGAAGGAGCACUUCCAGAGCCUCUCAGUGUUAAACAUCGUGUUGUGAAUGACUCCGUGAGCUCUGACCCAGUGACCUUGGGGAUAAAGGAGGGGAGGUACGGAUAAGCUCUUCGAAUGGAUGUUGCCGGGGUGUCAGUGUUCUUUGAGGGCACAGACUAUGUGUCACUAAAGAAAGAGCCCAGUGCCUUUUCUCAUUGCUCAAGAGAUUGAAGGGGUAGUAAGAAAAGAUGUUAAGUUAUAAACACGUUUCAGUUUUGGUACCAGUUGAACCAAUUUACGUUUUGAAGAGGAAAGAGUCUUGCCUACAAUGUCAGCCCCCGGGUUUUCCUUCUGCUUAUGGAAUCCAGGCAAUGGGCAAAGAGAAAAAGAAAACUAAGGAAUCAGCCAGGUGCAGUGGCUCAUGCUUGUGAUCUUGGCACUUUGGGAAGCUGAGGCAGGUGGACUUCUUGAGUGCAGCAGUUCAAGACCAGCCUGGCCAACAUAGUGAGACCCCGUUUCUACAAAAAAUACAAAAAGUUGCUGAGCAUGGUGACAUGCACCUGUAGUCCCAGUUACUUGGGAGGCUGAGGUGGGAGAACUACUUCAUCCCAGGAGGCUGAGGCUGCAGCGAGCCAUGAUCGUGCCACUAUACUCCUGCCUGGGUGGCAGAGUGAGGCCCUGUCUCAAAAGAAAACAAAAAAGAUAAAAA
ensembl:lncRNA LINC02018 long intergenic non-protein coding RNA 2018